rnacentral:lncRNA from 1 species
UGUGUUUUAACUCAUGAAGGUUUUGGUAUAAAAACGGAUUUAAUGCAUAUAUGUAGCUAUCCCAUAAUAUUGCUUUUGAAAUUAUUUUGAAAAAUAAUUUAUUUUGACAGCCUAAGGGCCCUAUAAGCCAUUUUAUAGGUAAAUGUAUUUUUAAAUAUUUUAUUUUGAGGAAAUUCUUGUUCCAGAAGUUAGAUCAUGUGAAAAUAUGAUUUUAAAAAUUUUGUUGCAAUUUUUUGGAGUGAUUCGGACCUCUAAAUCAAAAGUUGUGUUCAAAAUCAGAAAAUAGAAAAAAGAAAAGAAAAACCGAACCCGAACCGGACCGGACCGACCGGCCCCGCCCGAGCCUCCCGGACGCUCCCACUGCCAGGCGGGCCCCACCAUCGUCUUCAACCCCAACUGCAUCCGGAUUCCACGCCCACGAAGCUCUCGAACUGCCCACGACUCCUCUCACGAUUCCGUCGCGCACGAACCACC